CUUUGUCCCCAUGGCAAACUUCAAGGCCAACAAAAGACAAAGGAGGAGGCAAGACUGCCUCUGGACAAAUGAAUAUAAGUUUCAUGAAAGCAAGAGUAUUGUCUAUUUUGUUCAACUAUGGUACCCUGCAGAGCCUACAAGAGCUCCUUUUGCUCAAGAGAGAGCACACAUGGAGGAAGAGGGUCAGAGGGAGAGGAACAAGUAGACUCCAUGCUCAGCACAGAGCCCUAUGCAGAGCUCAACCUUACCACCUGAGAUCAUGA